rnacentral:rRNA from 1 species
UACGGAGGGAGCUAGCGUUUUUCGGAAUUACUGGGCGUAAAGCGCACGUAGGCGGCCGGUCAAGUUAGAGGUGAAAGCCCAGGGCUCAACCCUGGAAUAGCCUCUAAUACUAGAUGGCUUGAAUCUGGGAGAGGUCAGUGGAAUUCCUAGUGUAGAGGUGAAAUUCGUAGAUAUUCGGAAGAACACCAGUGGCGAAGGCGGCUCACUGGCCAGGUACUGACGCUGAGGUGCGAAAGCGUGGGGAGCAAACAGG